rnacentral:rRNA from 1 species
ACGCAUUUUAGAGCCUAAUUCAUUUUAAUUAACAAUCAAAAUUACAUUCAAAUCCAAAUUCAAAAUUUUAAUUAUAAAAAUUUUCCUAAAAUAAAUUUAUUGUAAUCCAUCUCUCCUUCUAUAAGCUGCACCUUGAUCUGAUUUUUGAUACAAUUAAAUAUUCAAAUUAUAUAUUUCCAAAAAUAAUUAACAACGACGAUAUACAAGCAAAAUAAAAGUACUAUUAAUCGUGGAUUAUCGAUUACAGGACAGAUUCCCCUGAUUGGAAUAAAAAACCGCCAAAUUUUUUGAUUUUAAAGAACAUAACUUUUAUUCAUCAAGUUCUUAUUUUAACAUCUAGAAUAAUGGGGUAUCUAAUCCCAGUUUAAAAUCUAGAUUUCUUAACUUCACAACCAAAAAUUAAAUUUAAUAAAAAAUAGGAUUCCACCCAAUAUUAAAUUAAAAUAAAAAUUAAUUCAUAUUAACUAAAUAUAUAACUGAAAAAAAAUAGUUGUGUUAUUUUGUAUAACCGCA